GCCGGGCGUAGUGGCACAUGCCUGUAGUCCCAGCUACUUGGGAGGCUGAGGCGGGAGAAUCGCUUGAACCCAGGAGGCUGAGGUUGCAGUGAGCCUAGAUUGCGCCACUGAACUCUAGCCUGGGUGACAGAGCGGGAUUCCAUCUCAA
rnacentral:SRP_RNA from 1 species